rnacentral:rRNA from 1 species
GUGACUGCGUACCUUUUGUAUAAUGGGUCAGCGACUUAUAUUCUGUAGCAAGGUUAACCGAAUAGGGGAGCCGAAGGGAAACCGAGUCUUAACUGGGCGUUAAGUUGCAGGGUAUAGACCCGAAACCCGGUGAUCUAGCCAUGGGCAGGUUGAAGGUUGGGUAACACUAACUGGAGGACCGAACCGACUAAUGUUGAAAAAUUAGCGGAUGACUUGUGGCUGGGGGUGAAAGGCCAAUCAAACCGGGAGAUAGCUGGUUCUCCCCGAAAGCUAUUUAGGUAGCGCCUCGUGAAUUCAUCUCCGGGGGUAGAGCACUGUUUCGGCAAGGGGGUCAUCCCGACUUACCAACCCGAUGCAAACUGCGAAUACCGGAGAAUGUUAUCACGGGAGACACACGGCGGGUGCUAACGUCCGUCGUGAAGAGGGAAACAACCCAGACCGCCAGCUAAGGUCCCAAAGUCAUGGUUAAGUGGGAAACGAUGUGGGAAGGCCCAGACAGCCAGGAUGUUGGCUUAGAAGCAGCCAUCAUUUAAAGAAAGCGUAAUAGCUCACUGGUCGAGUCGGCCUGCGCGGAAGAUGUAACGGGGCUAAACCAUGCACCGAAGCUGCGGCAGCGACACUGUGUGUUGUUGGGUAGGGGAGCGUUCUGUAAGCCUGUGAAGGUGUGCUGUGAGGCAUGCUGGAGGUAUCAGAAGUGCGAAUUCUGACAUAAGUAACGAUAAAGCGGGUGAAAAGCCCGCUCGCCGGAAGACCAAGGGUUCCUGUCCAACGUUAAUCGGGGCAGGGUGAGUCGACCCCUAAGGCGAGGCCGAAAGGCGUAGUCGAUGGGAAACAGGUUAAUAUUCCUGUACUUGGUGUUACUGCGAAGGGGGGACGGAGAAGGCUAUGUUGGCCGGGCGACGGUUGUCCCGGUUUAAGCGUGUAGGCUGGUUUUCCAGGCAAAUCCGGAAAAUCAAGGCUGAGGCGUGAUGACGAGGCACUACGGUGCUGAAGCAACAAAUGCCCUGCUUCCAGGAAAAGCCUCUAAGCAUCAGGUAACAUCAAAUCGUACCCCAAACCGACACAGGUGGUCAGGUAGAGAAUACCAAGGCGCUUGAGAGAACUCGGGUGAAGGAACUAGGCAAAAUGGUGCCGUAACUUCGGGAGAAGGCACGCUGAUAUGUAGGUGAAGUCCCUCGCGGAUGGAGCUGAAAUCAGUCGAAGAUACCAGCUGGCUGCAACUGUUUAUUAAAAACACAGCACUGUGCAAACACGAAAGUGGACGUAUACGGUGUGACGCCUGCCCGGUGCCGGAAGGUUAAUUGAUGGGGUCAGCGCAAGCGAAGCUCUUGAUCGAAGCCCCGGUAAACGGCGGCCGUAACUAUAACGGUCCUAAGGUAGCGAAAUUCCUUGUCGGGUAAGUUCCGACCUGCACGAAUGGCGUAAUGAUGGCCAGGCUGUCUCCACCCGAGACUCAGUGAAAUUGAACUCGCUGUGAAGAUGCAGUGUACCCGCGGCAAGACGGAAAGACCCCGUGAACCUUUACUAUAGCUUGACACUGAACAUUGAGCCUUGAUGUGUAGGAUAGGUGGGAGGCUUUGAAGUGUGGACGCCAGUCUGCAUGGAGCCGACCUUGAAAUACCACCCUUUAAUGUUUGAUGUUCUAACGUGGACCCGUGAUCCGGGUUGCGGACAGUGUCUGGUGGGUAGUUUGACUGGGGCGGUCUCCUCCUAAAGAGUAACGGAGGAGCACGAAGGUUGGCUAAUCCUGGUCGGACAUCAGGAGGUUAGUGCAAUGGCAUAAGCCAGCUUGACUGCGAGCGUGACGGCGCGAGCAGGUGCGAAAGCAGGUCAUAGUGAUCCGGUGGUUCUGAAUGGAAGGGCCAUCGCUCAACGGAUAAAAGGUACUCCGGGGAUAACAGGCUGAUACCGCCCAAGAGUUCAUAUCGACGGCGGUGUUUGGCACCUCGAUGUCGGCUCAUCACAUCCUGGGGCUGAAGUAGGUCCC